AUUGAACGCUGGCGGCAUGCCUUACACAUGCAAGUCGAACCGCAGCGGGCCCUUCGGGGUGCCGGCGAGUGGCGAACGGGUGAGUAAUGCAUCGGAACGUACCCGGGAGAGGGGGAUAACCGGCCGAAAGGCUGGCUAAUACCGCAUGAACUCGGAAGAGCAAAGCGGGGGACCUUCGGGCCUCGCGCUCUCGGAGCGGCCGAUGUCCGAUUAGGCUAGUUGGUGGGGUAAAGGCCCACCAAGGCGACGAUCGGUAGCGGGUCUGAGAGGACGAUCCGCCACACUGGGACUGAGACACGGCCCAGACUCCUACGGGAGGCAGCAGUGGGGAAUCUUGGACAAUGGGCGCAAGCCUGAUCCAGCAAUGCCGCGUGGGUGAAGAAGGCCUUCGGGUUGUAAAGCCCUUUCGGCGGGGAAGAAAUCGGUCAGGCGAAUAGUCUGGCUGGAUGACGGUACCCGCAGAAGAAGCACCGGCUAACUACGUG
rnacentral:rRNA from 1 species